CACGCAGGUGGCUUGGCAAGUCGGAUGUGAAAGCCCCGGGCUUAACCUGGGAACUGCAUUCGAUACUGCCAGGCCAGAGUAUGGGAGAGGAAAGUGGAAUUCCCGGUGUAGCGGUGAAAUGCGUAGAUAUCGGGAGGAACAUCAGUGGCGAAGGCGGCUUUCUGGCCCAAUACUGACACUCAUGUGCGAAAGCGUGGGGAGCAAACA
rnacentral:rRNA from 1 species